AUUUAGCUCAGUGGUUUUGCCGCCUGCUGCACAAGCGCAAGGACCCGAGUUUGAUCCCGGGUACCAAAAAAAAAAAAAAAGACACAAAUAAAACAUCCAGAACCUCCUCCCAGGGUUUGGAGAAUUCCGUGGAACUCACAGCGAUCCUCCUGCCUCGGCUUCCCAGAUGCUGGGAUUACAGGAGCCCCUCCUUUCCAACACGUAAGGAGCAUUCGGUCUCCACGGCAGACACGGGGUCCCCCGGCCGGAGCUGGCAGGACUGUGUCCCAUCCAGUUGGACAGCCGGCGUGUGUAUGCUCCGGACUCAUAAGCUACAGAAACCAAACCGUUUACUUAGCCAAGAAUGUGAAGAAUGCCUCUGUCCCAAGUAUUUCCAGUUCUCACUGAAGCCACUGAGUACUCAGCACGGUUGCAAGCCACAGCCUUGUCCUGGUCCUCUCGACCUCCCUCCCAGGGCCACCUCUCCCUCUCCCGCCUGGAGAGCCCUUCCCAGGGGAGACAGAGGAGCAGAUCCAGAGACCAGAAGGCCCAGUGCCCUGACAUCAAGGCCGCAGGGCGAUGGAGGGCCCUCCCUGUCCCCAGAGGGAGUAAGCAAGGGAGAGACAGCAAGGGUUCACUUGAACUUCCUCUGCCCCCUAAGCCUGUUUCCCACCAGCAGCUGCUGCUCUCCCUCCUCUCCUACCUCCUCCUCCCCACCACUUAGGUCAGGCCCGCCUUGAACUCACUAUGUAGCCAGGCUUGCCUGGAACUCCCAGUGAUCCUCCUGCCUCGGCCUCCUGCAUGCUGGGAUCACAGGCUCGCUCCACCACACCUGGCUAACUUUCAGUGGAUUUAUUGGGAUGUGGCCCCAUUGUAAGUCCGGGAGCUCCUGACUCCCUUGGCAGUGGGGCAGAGAGACACAGAUGGCUAUUGGCAGGGUCACCAGCCAGCCUGCUUGUUUCCGGUCCUCCCUCUCACAACCCAUCUCCACAAGGAAGCAGAGGGAUCUGCUCAACAUUCCCAGGAGGAAAGACGGGGCGGGGCCUGGGCCACCAUGGAGGAGCCCCUCCCCUCUGGCCCCAGCCUCUUCGUGAGCCACCCCGAGUGUCCCGAGUAACUGUGCCAUCAUCAUGUGAUCACGUGGGUGUGCAUGGAGACCCCAGUAAACCUUUGGUCCUGCCUGGCCUUGCUGUCUCUGUUUCUCCUGGGAACCUAGCCUUGCCUCAGUCCAUCAGAAAGUCAGUCAACAAACACCCUUCCUAUUGCUGAGCAAGGUGGGGGGACCCCAGCACAUUGCAGACCUGGUUCCACCAGCAAAGGGCUCCCAAAUUGUGAGGGGUGACAGGUUUAGGUGUUGCUCAAAACAAUUGACAUAGAUCACCGUACACUGGACCCUCAAAAG
ensembl:lncRNA